UGAUCAACAGUUUUAAAAUCAUAAAAAAACCAUUGAUCUCUUAUCAUUACAGAAUGUUACUUUAGAAGCUGUUAUAAUGUUGUUUGAUGGUCUUUAUUGUACUUAACCAAAUUGUGUACUAAGGCAGGGCUUAACAAAACAAUUUCAAGCACAAAUAUUGAUGUGGAAUGUAUAGUAACUUACACACUACAAUUUUCUACUAAGAUACUUGCAAAAACAAUACAUAUGCAGAAUGCAAAUAUGAUGUUAAUAUUAAAAGAUGAUGAAAACUAAUGACAAAAUACUUCUACCACUUCUACAGUUAACGGCCUCUGUCAAUAGGUUGACUAUUCUGCCGUGUUUAGGGUGUGCGCGCAAGAUAAAAGUCAAAAGUUAAAAACACUUCAAAAAACACAUGUGCUUUGCGAUGCCUGAUGACCUAAUUAAAAGUUUGCUCUUAUUUCUGUCUUCAAGUUUGGUUUUUUUAAAGAGGGGUUUCUGUGCUGUAGCUAACAACUCAUAAAUAAAAAGAAUAGAAUAUGCCUAUAAUAUACCUGGUAAUGGCAUAUACGUUGGUGGUUCACUUGUUAAGUUUUCGGUAUUGUCACAUACUGCUUAAUAAUACAUUCUGUCUUUUUCAGUUUGUCGACAAUCUGUCGAAAAAAAAAACACUUAAAGAACACGAAUGACACAAUAAAGGGAGAUAAUUCAGGAAGAAAAAUAUCAAGCUUGUCGACAAUCUGUCGAAAAAAAAACAACAUUUAAAGAACACGAAUGACACAAUAAAGGGAGAUAAUUCAGGAAGAAAAAACAUCAAGGUAUGGAGGUGUCGUUAGACCAGCUCUUGAUGAACCGUCGGUGAUGAGCAAAUCAUCAAGGGAACCGCCUGUUGGUCAUCACAAAGAUACGUGUUUCCAACUUUAGUCACUGCCAAGCACUGUAGAGUUUUCGGUCUUUAGUGCUCGCGUUUAGGUGUACGGCAGACAGCUACAGACCGAACUGGCUGUUUUG
rnacentral:lncRNA from 1 species